UACGUAGGGUGCAAGCGUUGUCCGGAAUCAUUGGGCGUAAAGGGCGCGUAGGUGGCGGGACAAGCGUGCGGUGAAAGCUCGGGGCUCAACCCCGAGUCGGCCGUGCGAACUGUUUUGCUGGAGCACUGUAGAGGCAGGCGGAAUUCCGGGUGUAGCGGUGGAAUGCGUAGAGAUCCGGAAGAACACCGGUGGCGAAGGCGGCCUGCUGGGCAGUUGCUGACACUGAGGCGCGACAGCGUGGGGAGCAAACAGG
rnacentral:rRNA from 1 species